rnacentral:rRNA from 1 species
UACAGAGGUGGCAAGCGUUGUUCGGAAUUACUGGGCGUAAAGGGCGCGUAGGCGGCCAUCUAAGUCAGACGUGAAAUCCCCCGGCUUAACCUGGGAACUGCGUCCGAUACUGGUGGGCUUGAAUCCGGGAGAGGGAUGCGGAAUUCCAGGUGUAGCGGUGAAAUGCGUAGAUAUCAGGAGGAACACCGGUGGCGAAGGCGGUUCUCUGGGCAUUACCUGACGCUGAGGCACGAAAGCGUGGGGAGCAAACAGG